UACGGAGGGAGCUAGCGUUGCUCGGAAUUACUGGGCGUAAAGCGCACGUAGGCGGCUUUGUACGUUAGAGGUGAAAGCCCGGGGCUCAACUCCGGAACUGCCUUUAAGACUGCAUCGCUUGAAUCCGGGAGAGGUGAGUGGAAUUCCGAGUGUAGAGGUGAAAUUCGUAGAUAUUCGGAAGAACACCAGUGGCGAAGGCGGCUCACUGGACCGGUAUUGACGCUGAGGUGCGAAAGCGUGGGGAGCAAACAGG
rnacentral:rRNA from 1 species